UGGGGUAGCUCAGUGGCCGAGCACAUGCUUGGCACGCAUGAGGCUCUGGGUUCCAUCCCCAGUGCCACAA
rnacentral:tRNA from 1 species